rnacentral:rRNA from 1 species
AUUGAACGCUGGCGGCAUGCCUUACACAUGCAAGUCGAACGGCAGCACGGGUGCUUGCACCUGGUGGCGAGUGGCGAACGGGUGAGUAAUACAUCGGAACAUGUCCUGUAGUGGGGGAUAGCCCGGCGAAAGCCGGAUUAAUACCGCAUACGAUCUACGGAUGAAAGCGGGGGACCUUCGGGCCUCGCGCUAUAGGGUUGGCCGAUGGCUGAUUAGCUAGUUGGUGGGGUAAAGGCCUACCAAGGCGACGAUCAGUAGCUGGUCUGAGAGGACGACCAGCCACACUGGGACUGAGACACGGCCCAGACUCCUACGGGAGGCAGCAGUGGGGAAUUUUGGACAAUGGGCGAAAGCCUGAUCCAGCAAUGCCGCGUGUGUGAAGAAGGCCUUCGGGUUGUAAAACCCUUUUUUCCGGGAAGAAAACCUUGGCCCUAAUAAGGUCGGGGGAUGACGGUACCGGAAGAAUAAGCCCCGGCUAACUACGUG